rnacentral:rRNA from 1 species
GUAGGUGGCUAAGCGUUGUCCGGAAUUAUUGGGGCGUAAAGCGCGCGCAGGCGGUUCUUUAAGUCUGAUGUGAAAGCCCACGGGCUCAACCGUGGAGGUCAUUGGAAACUGGAGAACUUGAGUACAGAAGAGGAAAGCGGAAUUCCACGUGUAGCGGUGAAAUGCGUAGAGAUGUGGAGGAACACCAGUGGCGAAGGCGGCUUUCUGGUCUGUAACUGACGCUGAGGCGCGAAAGCGUGGGGAGCAAACAGGAUUAGAUACCCUGGUAGUCCACGCCGUAAACGAUGAGUGCUAAGUGUUAGGGGGUUUCCGCCCCUUAGUGCUGCAGCUAACGCAUUAAGCACUCCGCCUGGGGAGUACGGCCGCAAAGGCUG